rnacentral:rRNA from 1 species
AACGAACGCUGGCGGCAUGCCUAACACAUGCAAGUCGAACGAAGGCUUCGGCCUUAGUGGCGCACGGGUGCGUAACGCGUGGGAAUCUGCCCUUUGGUUCGGAAUAACAGCUGGAAACGGCUGCUAAUACCGGAUGAUGACGAGAGUCCAAAGAUUUAUCGCCAGAGGAUGAGCCCGCGUUGGAUUAGGUAGUUGGUGGGGUAAAGGCCUACCAAGCCGACGAUCCAUAGCUGGUCUGAGAGGAUGAUCAGCCACACUGGGACUGAGACACGGCCC